UACGAAGGGGGCUAGCGUUGCUCGGAAUUACUGGGCGUAAAGGGCGCGUAGGCGGACAGUUUAGUCAGAGGUGAAAGCCCAGGGCUCAACCUUGGAACUGCCUUUGAUACUGACUGUCUUGAGUUCGGGAGAGGUGAGUGGAAUGCCGAGUGUAGAGGUGAAAUUCGUAGAUAUUCGGCGGAACACCAGUGGCGAAGGCGACUCACUGGCCCGAUACUGACGCUGAGGCGCGAAAGCGUGGGGAGCAAACGGGG
rnacentral:rRNA from 1 species